UGGGGAAUAUUGGACAAUGGGCGAAAGCCUGAUCCAGCCAUGCCGCGUGUGUGAAGAAGGUCUUCGGAUUGUAAAGCACUUUAAGUUGGGAGGAAGGGCAUUAACCUAAUACGUUAGUGUUUUGACGUUACCGACAGAAUAAGCACCGGCUAACUCUGUGCCAGCAGCCGCGGUAAUACAGAGGGUGCAAGCGUUAAUCGGAAUUACUGGGCGUAAAGCGCGCGUAGGUGGUUUGUUAAGUUGGAUGUGAAAUCCCCGGGCUCAACCUGGGAACUGCAUUCAAAACUGACUGACUAGAGUAUGGUAGAGGGUGGUGGAAUUUCCUGUG
rnacentral:rRNA from 1 species